AGCUGGGCGAAGAUGAUGAGAUUUUGGAUGAUAGGAGUUGCCGAGGGCAAUGAAGGGCGAUGAGACUUUAUAAAGUCCUUUAUGCCGUAUUUAAACAUACCCUAAUAGGAUUCUAACUGAUUGGGAUAUCUAAGUAAGUAACCUAAUCAAAGGAGUGUGCUGCCUCAUGAUGACACGUGUCAAUCCUUGGAAGAAGAGAAGAUAUAUCGGCUAGAAUCAUAGCUAGAGGGGUGACAACUUUUGGAGAGUGUGGGAAUCCCGAAAGAGGGGGAUUUCAAUUAAGAGGGUCUCGAACCAAAUACUUGGGCAAGCACCUAGAAAUUAAAGCUUUGAUAUCAUCUUGGUCUUGCCCAAGGAGCAUACUGUGUUGUCGAGAAAUAGAUUGACGAAUAUGGCGCCCUCAACACCUUUUAGAGGAACAUACCAACUUCAAUAUGGGACCUAUAUAACAUCCUACAGGUUGAAUAAGGAGAGCAUUAGCUAGCAUGAGCUGGAUAAUCAUCAAAGAUAGACCGAAAAAGGACUAGUUGUGUCAAGGUUAAGGCCAAGCCAGUAUGACCUAUGGGGUUCCUUUAUUGGCCUUGCAAAGCAAGCAUGAUAUGAUUUGGGAUUUGACUUGAAACAUGGAGUAGAAGGUAGUCAACCCUAAUUACUAAACCCGCCAAAAAAGUGAAAGACUAGAUGUGGACAUGUGUCAGUACUAGAGAUUGGACGGCUACAAAACCGGUUAUAAUACCAUGUAUAAACAGUUGGAUAUAACUCUAGGAAAUGACAUUAUGGCUAAUCAAACAUCUGUUAUUAUCUUUAUCUUUACUUUAUUUCUGUGUCUUUACCUUGUUUUAGUUAUCCUAGUUUAUCUAUAGUUCUUAGAGUAGAAUCGUAGCCCCCGCUACAACCUACCUCUUCCUUUUUUUAACAGAUAAUAUUAUAGCAGUGAAAGUUUUUAAAGUUCAAGACAUCAAGACCCACAUUAUCAAUCUUUCACCCUUUCUUCUGUUUGGAUAUUAAUACUGGUGGCAUGUUCACGCACCUGCACAGACCUGCCAAUAGAAGUAAUCAUGGGUUGGGCCUCGGGCUUAAACUGUAUGCAUGUUUAAUUGAGGUUUGGGUUGAGCCUAUGUAA
rnacentral:lncRNA from 1 species